rnacentral:miRNA from 1 species
CUAAGCCAUCUCUCCAGCCCAAAGAUUAGAAUUUAUAGGGCUGGAGAGAUGGCUUAG